GAUGAACGCUGGAGGCGUGCCUAAUACAUGCAAGUCGAGCGAAUGGAUUAAGAGCUUGCUCUUAUGAAGUUAGCGGAGGACGGGUGAGUAACACGUGGGUAACCUGCCCAUAAGACUGGGAUAACUCCGGGAAACCGGGGCUAAUACCGGAUAACAUUUUGAACCGCAUGGUUCGAAAUUGAAAGGCGGCUUCGGCUGUCACUUAUGGAUGGACCCGCGUCGCAUUAGCUAGUUGGUGAGGUAACGGCUCACCAAGGCAACGAUGCGUAGCCGACCUGAGGGGGUGAUCGGCCACACUGGGACUGAGAAACGGCCCAGACUCCUACGGGAGGGAGCAGUAGGGAAUCUUCCGCAAUGGACGAAAGUCUGACGGAGCAACGCCGCGUGAGUGAUGAAGGCUUUCGGGUCGUAAAACUCUGUUGUUAGGGAAGAACAAGUGCUAGUUGAAUAAGCUGACACCUUGACGGUACCUAACCAGAAAGCCACGGCUAACCACGUGCCAGCCGCCGCGGUAA
rnacentral:rRNA from 1 species